GAUGAACGCUGGCGGCGUGCCUAAUACAUGCAAGUCGAGCGAACAGACGAGGAGCUUGCUCCUCUGAUGUUAGCGGCGGACGGGUGAGUAACACGUGGAUAACCUACCUAUAAGACUGGGAUAACUUCGGGAAACCGGAGCUACUACCGGAUAACAUGUUGAACCGCAUGGUUCAACAGUGAAAGACGGUCUUGCUGUCACUUAUAGAUGGAUCCGCGCCGCAUUAGCUAGUUGGUAAGGUAACGGCUUACCAAGGCAACGAUGCGUAGCCGACCUGAGAGGGUGAUCGGCCACACUGGAACUGAGACACGGUCCAGACUCCUACGGGAGGCAGCAGUAGGGAAUCUUCCGCAAUGGGCGAAAGCCGGACGGAGCAACGCCGCGUGAGUGAAGAAGGUCUUCGGAUCGUAAAACUCUGUUAUUAGGGAAGAACAAAUGUGUAAGUAACUAUGCACGUCUUGACGGUACCUAAUCAGAAAGCCACGGCUAACUACGUG
rnacentral:rRNA from 1 species